GCUUGGUGGAGGCGGUGCUGGUGGUGGCGGGGCCCAAUAGCUUGGUGGAGGUGGUGCUGGUGGGGGUGGUGCAUAAAAUCCUGGAGGUGGUGGAGCAUAUUGUCCUUGCACCAAAUUCUGCUCGCCCAAAAGGAGCAAAGCUGACGCUACAAUUCCACA